GACGAACGCUGGCGGCGUGCCUAAUACAUGCAAGUCGAACGCAGUGGGGACGGGUGAGUAACACGUGGGUAACCUCCCAUCAGAGGGGAUAACCCUUGGAAACAAGUGCUAAAACCGAUAUUGAUGGAUGGACCCGCGGUGCAUUAGCUAUGUGUUGAGGUAACGUCUCACCAAGGCCACGAUGACUAGCCGACCUGAGAGGGUGAUCGGCCACACGGGGACUGAGACACGGCCCAGACUCCUACGGGAGGCAGCAGUAGGGAAUAUUCGACAAUGGACGAAAGUCUGAUCGAGCAACGCCGCGUGAAUGAAGAAGGUUUUCGGAUCGUAAAACUCUGUUGGUAGAGAAGCGGUAUCUAACCAGAAAGCCACGGCUAACUACGUGCCAGCAGCCGCGGUAAUAC
rnacentral:rRNA from 1 species